AAAUUUAUAUAUAAAAUAUUAAUUAAAAUUAAUAAAUUCUUAUUACAUUAUAUUGGGGCGAUAGAAAUAUAAAUAAUAACUGUUUUUGUAAAUUAAAUAUUAUAAAUAUUAUAAGAAUUGAUCCUUAAUUUAGGAUUAAAAGUUCAAGUU
rnacentral:rRNA from 1 species